AUAUUCAUCUUAAUAUCAAAAUAAUUAUUUUCAAGAAAAAUCUUUAAGUCUCAAUGAUAGAAUUAUUAAGGAUUUCGAGAUGGUGACUGCAGAGCAUUAAACUUCAAGCUCAGCACCCUGUGCAGCUGCCUGAUUCACUCCUCAGACCCAGUGCCCAAGACCCCCUCGCCCGUCAUAGCCUGGAUUCGCUGGAGGCCCUGGUGCAUGUGUAUUGAGUUUCACUGGCACAGGUGUCAUGGUUUCUGCAAAAAGAUCCCCAAAUAAUUGUUUUUUGUCUAUUUGGAGUUUGUAUUUGUCCCUUUCUCCUCAGUGGCCUCAGCCAUUUAACGUAAUUGUUCUCUAUGUUUCUGUAGUGUAAUAAUAUUUUUGUUCAUGAUGGUUACAGUCAUGUCACUAAGGCUUCAGGUACCAAAAUAAUGUUUAAAACGAUUUGAUGGAAAAGUACAGAAAUCCCACUACAGAUGAAGCCAGCUAAAGCUGUUUGGCUGAGCCAUUGUGUGGCUCCUUGUGUAAUGUAGUGAAACAUGAAGUGAGCCUGAUAAUCACCAGUAAAAAUAAAGGUGAUUUUUGACUAAUGAAACUAUACUCCAAUCGAAAUAAUAAUGUCAUAUUAAGAAACAGUGUGAAGCUACUUUUGAAAUAUUUCCAGAUUUGUUUUUAAAACUAUAAGACUAUUUUCUCAACAAAUAUUAUUGAGAA
rnacentral:lncRNA from 1 species